rnacentral:rRNA from 1 species
GUCUGCAGUCAUACCACCCUGAAAACAUUCAACCCUGUCUGAUCUCAGAAGCUAAGCAGGGUCAACCCUGGUCAGGCCUGGUUGCUGGACC